rnacentral:tRNA from 1 species
UGGGUUAUAAGUUAAAAAGACUAGGAGUUUUCAGCACUCCAAGUGGGUAGGUUCCCUGACUCAG